CGGCUCAGUAACACGUGGAUAACCUACCCUUGAGACGGGGAUAAACCCGGGAAACUGGGUAUAAUACCCGAUAGAUCUCGACUGCUGGAAUGCAUCGAGCUUGAAAGCUCCGGCGCUCAAGGAUGGGUCUGCAGCCUAUCAGGUAGUAGUGGGUGUAGCGUACCUACUAGCCUACGACGGGUACGGGUUGUGAGAGCAAGAGCCCGGAGAUGGAUUCUGAGACACGAAUCCAGGCCCUACGGGGUGCAGCAGGCGCGAAAACUUUACAAUGCUGGAAACAGCGAUAAGGGGACCUCGAGUGCCAGGUUACAAAUCUGGCUGUCGUGAUGCCUAAAAAGCAUUGCAUAGCAAGGGCCGGGCAAGACCGGUGCCAGCCGCCGCGGUAACACCGGCGGCUCGAGUGGUAACCGUUAUUAUUGGGUCUAAAGGGUCUGUAGCCGGCCGGAUAAGUCUCUUGGGAAAUCUGGCAGCUUAACUGUCAGGCCUUUCAGGAGAUACUGUCUGGCUCGAGGCCGGGAGAGGUGAGAGGUACUUCAGGGGUAGGGGUGAAAUCUUGUAAUCCUUGAAGGACCACCAGUGGCGAAGGCGUCUCACCAGAACGGACCUGACGGCAAGGGACGAAAGCUAGGGGCACGAACCGGAUUAGAUACCCGGGUAGUCCUAGCCGUNAACGAUACUCGCUAGGUGUCGGCAACGGUGCGACCGU
rnacentral:rRNA from 1 species